AAGAGUUAUGGGUGACAAAACCAGCCAUAGUUAUCACAUCAAUUUAACUUCUGUGCAUGAAGCCAAAUCCAAUUCAGCUGCGAGAAGCUGCAAAGAUCAAUUUUUCAACAUGACAAAACCCUCGCUGCUGCAGUUGCCCGGGUCCCAAAUCCCAGCAGAUUCGGCAAGCGCUAUACGAGGCCAGGUGACCACAAAGACACCUCUGUGCUGCCUCUGACAGAGGAAUAAGAAAAUUGGACCACAGAAGCACAAUUGUGCCAGCACAAUCAGCAGAAGUUACUUGAAGGAGAUGUCUGCCAAAGAAAAAGCUGACUGAAGAGUACUACACAGCUCUGAAACUUUAAGUGAUCAGUGCUAUUUCUUUUCACCAAGAUGAAAUGACGGGUAAUUUUUGUGAACAGUUCUCCCUCAAAGUAGCCAUAUCCACUCAAUUGUUACCAGCUGCAGGAUUCCCAGCCCAGGGCCUUUAUGUCAAAUGGGGAAUAUCAGAUAAUUGCUUGCACUUGGGUCACACUGAAAGGGAAAAAUAAAGUUAUUUCCAAUUGCAACAUACUGCUGUUUUUAGAGAUUGCUGUAUUGCUUUAAACCCAAAGUUCCUUCAAAGCACGUCUACUUGGAAAGCAGCCUGGCAGAAGUGCAGCAUCCAAAGGCGUCAGAUGAGAAGCCCAUCAGAAGCACCGCACGGCAUUGCAGAGUCGAGGUCCUCCAUUCACCCGUCCACCUCCAGCAGAAGGCUUCUGCCCACGGAGCUGUGGUUCUGCCAAUAAAGCUGGUUUCCUGCUCUCGGUGGGAGAUUUUAAUAUUGACAAUUAAAAACCCACUGGAAUUAAAUCAUUCCCCCUCUCAGCCCAGAGCCGAUGCCCUUCACGUGCUCACAGCCGUAUCGCAGCGCUCCUUCCCACCCCGCUGACUUCCCAGUUUGGUUGGAGUUUCGCUAAAUGCUAUGUAUUUAUUCUCUUUGUCUGAGGCCUUGAAAGUUGGCUUUUAGUCUGUAUGACAGGGCUCAUAAAUUAGUGACUAUGAAUUAUUCAUUAGGUAUUUAACCAAAUGCUCUACCAAAAUGCCCAGUGGCUGCAAAUCUAACAAAAAUACAUUAUAUAUUCUAUUUUUUCUUGAUAAAACACUAAAUACUACUUUUUUUUUUUUUUCCAAAGAUUUCCUUAAGGCAUCACUAGCUUUUACCUUAAGUGAUACUAGAAUAAAAGGCAGAUUUAAUAAUCUGUUUCAGUUUCUUAUCUUCCCUUUUCUUGAACCAUUAAUAUAACUGAAAGCAGAAAUGUAACUCAGCUUGUUAUCUUUGCAAAAUCAAAUACAUUAGACAGGGUAUUAUUUGCCUCAGGCAAUGCCAUUUCAAGUUUGUAUCACUCCUAGCCAGGACCAUUCAGUUUACAAAGAAAAAAAUUUGGAUUUGACAAUGACUGCUGCCACUUGUCUACAAUGAGCAAUUGCUCUUUCACCAAGAAAUCAGUUUCCACCCCAAUACAUUUGAAUGAGCAAACCUGUGGUGUUUAUUACAUAGGAAAUAUUUUCCCUAAAGUCUUGAAAUAAUUAGAAUUUGUUUUUCUUUGCCACGCUAGCAAGAGAAAUCGGAUAUUAACCAAGACCUUUCUUAGGAGAGCAAUUCCAUCUUUAACAACUUAGAAAUUAGAUUUUUUAACAAUGAAAUACAGCGCUCAU